CCUACGGGAGGCUGCAGUGGGGAAUAUUGGACAAUGGGGGGAACCCUGAUCCAGCCAUGCCGCGUGUGUGAAGAAGGCCCUCGGGUUGUAAAGCACUUUCAGUGAGGAAGAACGCCUGGUGGUUAAUACCCAUCAGGAAAGACAUCACUCACAGAAGAAGCACCGGCUAACUCCGUGCCAGCAGCCGCGGUAAUACGGAGGGUGCGAGCGUUAAUCGGAAUUACUGGGCGUAAAGCGCGCGUAGGUGGCUUGAUAAGCCGGUUGUGAAAGCCCCGGGCUCAACCUGGGAACGGCAUCCGGAACUGUCAAGCUAGAGUGCAGGAGAGGAAGGUAGAAUUCCAGGUGUAGCGGUGAAAUGCGUAGAGAUCGGGAGGAAUACCAGUGGCGAAGGCGGCCUUCUGGACUGACACUGACACUGAGGUGCGAAAGCGUGGGUAGCAAACAGGAUUAGAUACCCCAGUAGUC
rnacentral:rRNA from 1 species